rnacentral:rRNA from 1 species
CCUACGGGAGGCAGCAGUGGGGAAUAUUGCACAAUGGGGGAAACCCUGAUGCAGCGACGCCGCGUGAGUGAAGAAGUAAUUCGUUAUGUAAAGCUCUAUCAGCAGGGCAGAAAAUGACGGUACCUGAGUAAGAAGCCCCGGCUAACUACGUGCCAGCAGCCGCGGUAAUACGUAGGGGGCAAGCGUUAUCCGGAUUUACUGGGUGUAAAGGGAGCGUAGACGGUAGGGCAAGUCUGGAGUGAAAUGCCGGGGCUUAACUCCCGAACUGCUUUGGAAACUGGAGGGCUAGAGUGCGGGAGGGGUAAGUGGAAUGCGUGGUGUAGCGGUGAAAUGCGUAGAUAUUAGGCGGAACACCGGUGGCGAAGGCGGCUUACUGGACCGUAACUGACGUUGAGGCUCGAAAGCGUGGGGAGCAAACAGGAUUAGAUACCCUAGUAGUC